UACGUAGGAGGCGAGCGUUGUCCGGAGUUACUGGGCGUAAAGCGUGCGCAGGCGGUUUGUUAAGACAGAUGUGAAAUCCCCGGGCUUAACCUGGGAACUGCAUUUGUGACUGGCAAGCUAGAGUAUGGCAGAGGGGGGUAGAAUUCCACGUGUAGCAGUGAAAUGCGUAGAGAUGUGGAGGAAUACCGAUGGCGAAGGCAGCCCCCUGGGCCCAAUACUGACGCUCAUGCACGAAAGCGUGGGGAGCAAACGAG
rnacentral:rRNA from 1 species